UGGGGAAUAUUGGUCAAUGGGCGCAAGCCUGAACCAGCAAUGCCGCGUGAGUGAUGAAGGCCAUCGGGUUGUAAAGCUCUGUCGGGAGGGACGAAAAAGACGGGGUAACGCCCGGACUUGACGGUACCUCCAAAGGAAGCACCGGCUAACUCUGUGCCAGCAGCCGCGGUAAUACAGAGGGUGCAAGCGUUGUUCGGAAUUACUGGGCGUAAAGCGCGUGUAGGCUGCAAUGUAAGUCGGACGUGAAAGCCCUUGGCUUAACCAAGGAAGUGCGUCCGAUACUGCGUCGCUUGAGUACCGGAGGGGAUGGCGGAAUUCCCGGUGUAGAGGUGAAAUUCGUAGAUAUCGGGAGGAACACCUGUGGCGAAGGCGGCCAUCUGGACGGUAACUGACGCUGAGACGCGAAAGCGUGGGUAGCAAACAG
rnacentral:rRNA from 1 species